UGGAUUCAGAGUCUACCCCAAUCCGGUAUGA
rnacentral:piRNA from 1 species